rnacentral:rRNA from 1 species
GACGAACGCUGGCGGCGUGCUUAACACAUGCAAGUCGAACGGAAAGGCCCUGCUUUUGUGGGGUGCUCGAGUGGCGAACGGGUGAGUAACACGUGAGUAACCUGCCCUUGACUUUGGGAUAACUUCAGGAAACUGGGGCUAAUACCGGAUAGGAGCUCCUGCUGCAUGGUGGGGGUUGGAAAGUUUCGGCGGUUGGGGAUGGACUCGCGGCUUAUCAGCUUGUUGGUGGGGUAGUGGCUUACCAAGGCUUUGACGGGUAGCCGGCCUGAGAGGGUGACCGGCCACAUUGGGACUGAGGUACGGCCCAGACUCCUACGGGAGGCAGCAGUGGGGAAUAUUGCACAAUGGGCGGAAGCCUGAUGCAGCAACGCCGCGUGCGGGAUGACGGCCUUCGGGUUGUAAACCGCUUUCGCCUGUGACGAAGCGUGAGUGACGGUAAUGGGUAAAGAAGCACCGGCUAACUACGUGCCAGCAGCCGCGGUGAUACGUAGGGUGCGAGCGUUGUCCGGAUUUAUUGGGCGUAAAGGGCUCGUAGGUGGUUGAUCGCGUCGGAAGUGUAAUCUUGGGGCUUAACCCUGAGCGUGCUUUCGAUACGGGUUGACUUGAGGAAGGUAGGGGAGAAUGGAAUUCCUGGUGGAGCGGUGGAAUGCGCAGAUAUCAGGAGGAACACCAGUGGCGAAGGCGGUUCUCUGGGCCUUUCCUGACGCUGAGGAGCGAAAGCGUGGGGAGCGAACAGGCUUAGAUACCCUGGUAGUCCACGCUGUAAACGGUGGGUACUAGGUGUGGGGUCCAUUCCACGGGUUCCGUGCCGUAGCUAACGCUUUAAGUACCCCGCCUGGGGAGUACGGCCGCAAGGCUAAAACUCAAAGGAAUUGACGGGGCCCCGCACAAGCGGCGGAGCAUGCGGAUUAAUUCGAUGCAACGCGUAGAACCUUACCUGGGUUUGACAUGGAUCGGGAGUGCUCAGAGAUGGGUGUGCCUCUUUUGGGGUCGGUUCACAGGUGGUGCAUGGCUGUCGUCAGCUCGUGUCGUGAGAUGUUGGGUUAAGUCCCGCAACGAGCGCAACCCUUGUUCACUGUUGCCAGCACGUUAUGGUGGGGACUCAGUGGAGACCGCCGGGGUCAACUCGGAGGAAGGUGGGGAUGACGUCAAGUCAUCAUGCCUCUUAUGUCCAGGGCUUCACGCAUGCUACAAUGGCUGGUACAGAGAGUGGCGAGCCUGUGAGGGUGAGCGAAUCUCGGAAAGCCGGUCUCAGUUCGGAUUGGGGUCUGCAACUCGACCUCAUGAAGUCGGAGUCGCUAGUAAUCGCAGAUCAGCAACGCUGCGGUGAAUACGUUCCCGGGGCU